GUACACGGUGUGGUUUGUGUCACACAGGCAGAGGGUUUAAUGGAAUUAACUCCGUUAGCUGCCUCUCACACAUCCGCUCAUCCUCCCAGCUGAUGCUUGUUUGAAUGUGUGUGUGUGUGUGUGUGUGUGUGUGUGUGUGUGUGUGUGUGA